AUACGAACCGGACGAACGUUAUUCGGAAUCACUGGGCUUAAAGAGUACGUAGGCGGCCUGGUAAGUUGGAUGUGAAAGCCCUCGGCCCAACCGAGGAAUUGCGUUCAAAACUACCAGACUUGAGGGAGACAGAGGUGAGCGGAACUGAUGGUGGAGCGGUGAAAUGCGUUGAUGUCAUCAGGAACACCGGUGGCGAAGGCGGCUCACUGGGUCUCUUCUGACGCUGAGGUACGAAAGCUAGGGGAGCGAACGGGAUUAGAAACCCCAGUAGUCC
rnacentral:rRNA from 1 species